CCCUGCAGCCCAAGACUGGUCGCCCACUGAAGAUGGGAGACCUCCUGGGAAAACUAGGUUGCUGCUGGAA
rnacentral:rRNA from 1 species